GUGGGGCUGGGACCCCUGGGUAUGGGGCUGGGGACCCCCGGGAAGCAAGACGUGGGGCUGGGAUCCCUGGAGAGCGGGGUGUGGGGCUGGGGACCCCUUGUUGUGGGGCUGGGACCCCUUGUUGUGGGGCUGGGACCCCUCGAUGUGGGGCUGGGACCCCCCGGGGAUCAGGGUGUGGGGCUGGGACCCCUUGGUGUGGGGCUGGGACCCCUGGGUGUGGGGCUGGGACCCCUGGGUGUGGGGCUGGGGACCCCCGGGAAGCAAGAUGUGGGGCUGGGACCCCUUGUUAUGGGGCUGGGAACCUCCUGGGGAGUGGGAUGUGGGGCUAGGACCCCUUGUUGUGGGGCUGGGACCCCUUGUUGUGGGGCUGGGGACCUCUUGUGGGGCUGGGACCCCUCAGUAUGGGGCUGGGAUCCCCGGGGAUCGGGAUGUGGGGCUGGGACCCCUUGGUGUGGGUCUGGGGACCCUUUGGUGCGGGGCUGGGACCCCUUGGUGUGGGGCUGGGACCUUUUGAUGUGGGGCUGGGGACCACUUGUGGGGCUGGGACCCCCGGGAUCGGGAUGUGGGGCUGGAACCCAUCAUUGUGGGGCUGGGGACCCUUGGGGAGUAAGGUGUGGGGCUGGGACCUUUUCGUGUGGAGCUGGGACCCCUCGCUGUGGGGCUGGGGACCUCCGGGGAGUGGGAUGUGGGGCUGGGACCCUUUGCUGUGGGGCUGGGGACCUUGGGGAGUGGGCUGUGGAGCUGGGAGGGAAGCAGGAUGUGGGGCUGGGACCCCUUGGUGUGGGGCUGGGACCCCUGGAUGUGGGGCUGGGACCCCUUGUUAUGGGGCUGGGACCCCUCGCUGUGGGGAUGGGGAGCGGGAUGUGGGGCUGGGACCCCUCGGUGUGGGGCGGGGACCCCCGGGAAGCAAGAUGUGGGGCUGGGACCCCUUGUUGUGGGGCUGGGACCUCUCAGUGUGGGGCUGGGACCCUCAGGAUCGGGGUGUGGGUCUGGGAUCUUUUGGUGUGGGGCUGGGGACCCCCGGGGAUCGG
rnacentral:lncRNA from 1 species